UUCACCUGAAAGGCAAAAUAUUAGCAAAUAGUAGUAGAAACUACCUUUGUAGGUGGAUAAAUCGUGUGCAGAUGUUAUGCUGAAAGGAUGAGUCAAUAAAAUUUGGAUGAGUCCAGAACAGGUCAGAGGGGCUUUCUCUUAGUGGAUAUGUUUACAGAAAAAAUCAAGAAAAUAUGCCUGCAUAGUCUAGUAAAAGAAAACAGAAUACAAAUGAAAAAUGUUAUCAUUUCUACUAGACGUAGUAAAGCAGAUUCUUCAGAGGAACCAGGAAAAAAGGAAUGUUAAUUAAAGGAGAGAGCAAGCUCACCCAGUUUGUUCCAGAAAAUGCUUUGGCUUUUUCAUUUUAGUUAAUUUCUUUCUAUUAGGAGCAGCUCUAGGUAACGAACGACAAAGAAACACAGUGAUGCGCUCUUGGCAGUGACUCAGCACAGAAACCCUUACAGGAUAUUCCAUGAAAACAGGCAGAGAUUUCUUUCCAGUCUGACAUGAGAUGGUCCACAGAAAGUAGGCGUUGCUCAGUACCUGCUGUUGGUUAUCUUUUUGUCAUGCAAAUAACUUUACAAAAAAAACAGAGAUUUAAAAUGCACAUGUAGGCCUUUUCAAAUGAAAGUGAUUUGGAGACUUCUUCCCAAAUGGCAGCAGGAAGAGUCAUCAGAACUCAGUCAAAAGAAUGGCGUUUACAUGUUGCUUGGCCUUGCACAGUGCACACUGAGGGUUUACAGAGAGUAAAUGGAGAUAUUUAGACUUCACCCACAUUGCUCCUUUGAACCAUGUGAAGAGAAACAGGCAAAGGAGAGAGACAGGAGUCUGCUGUACAAUGUAAAAGGACAGAAACUACAGAUACAUCAUCAUAUUUCCUUUCCAUGUUCUCUAGCUAUUUUCAGGCAGCUGUGCAAAGCAGAUCCAACAGUUCUGCGAUUGCAUACUAGCCAGUGCUAAUGAUAAAGAUAUGGUAGACACAGGACUGAAGCACAGAUGAUUGUACAGUUGCAGGGCCUGAAACCUCCUCUUAUAUCUGUCCCCACUAAAGCUUCCUAACGGUCCACCAGCCCCAGAAAAAUCAUGGAUCUGCUUCAGCAUUUCAGCUCCACCUUCCUUCCUCAACACAGUGUUUCAGAACAUGUUCCAUUCCUUUUGGCUUUUUAUAGCUUUCUUAGAGGCAAUAAACUGAAUUGGAUUUCCUCCUACACGAGAAUCAAUCAAACCUGCAUUUUUAAGCACUCUGGAGCCUGCAGAACUGGAACACAUAGAACAAAAUAUAUCUCACUUUCCUGGGAGGUCAAUACCUCUUAUUUCUGCAGGCUGGAUGUAUCUCUGAGGCUAACAGGGUUUUGUUCUGUCCUGCUGGGUGUGCAAUAUCAUUUGGUCCAACACAGCCUGUACUUUAUUUUUAUUGAGGAUCAGAAUGGGAUUCAUAUAAAUAAACUAUAUUUCUUUUAACCUUCUUGGAACAGGUGCUCAUGAAAGAGUAGAGGCUUUCAUAACAUUUACUCAAAAUAUUUAUUUAAACUUUGGAGGCCUUCAGCACAUACAGUUUUACUGUUAGCAUUUCACAGACAUUAUCUGUAGAUCAACUAUGUUAAUUUUAUCAGUUCACACCAUAUGUAGUAUGAUAUUGGGGAUUUUCCAGGCUGUUGCCCAUUUUUAUGUAUUUUCCUCACUGGUAAAGUCAAAUACUUUUAUUUGUAUGAUUGCCUCCACUAAAAUAUCUGGUUCUUUAUUAAUUGUUUUUCCCAUACAAGGAAAUGUUGAAGGCUUUAACUCUGAGACCAAAAAUGCAGGGAAGGAAAGAGGGUGCCAAUGUUGUGACCCACUUUUUCCUUCACUCCAUUUAUAUUGCUAUCCUCUUAAAUGCAUGAGAAGAGCUAUGCAGCUCUUUCGAAUAAACUCUGUAAACCACAUUCAGAAGCCUGUGGAGUUAACUCUAGACUUCCAUUAGUAUAAAGGAAUUUGGAGCUGAGAGUUCAUGUUGUAUAUAACAUAUGCCCUUCAUAUGAAGAAAAAAAAUCUAGUAUGAUCCCUGCUCAAAAAGGCUGCAAAUGAGAUUCCAGACCACUUUUUGAAAUACAUUUUUGUGUGUCAAUGCUAUUGCUAUUUCUCUGCUGAACAGCAAUUAACAUCUUUUUUCCAAACUUAUUCUGGCAUAUUUUUGCGCCAAAGUGUCCUGGACCCAGUUGAUAUGCAUGAAUCCUCUUAGUCCAAAGGCAAAUACAUUCCAGCAACAGUGAAUUGUUCCUGCAAGGAUUAGAAAUAGGCAAAACAUUCCCACUGUGUUUGAUUCUAGUGCAGCAGACCUUUGGGAAGAAGUGCUCUAUCCAGCUAAUAGUGUACCUCACAAUAGCCCACUUUCUUCGCAGCAGGUUUCUGGCAUGUUUUCCAUAGCCCUAGUCCUUCCUAGGGCAUCACAGGGGACCAAUGUCUCCUUUCUCAUCAAAAUAUAUCCAUUUCUCUGUUGCUCUGCCAUCAGCAAAAGUCUUUCACAAUAUCUUGAAAAUUAGUUUGGAAAGCUUAAAAGUGGCAAAACACACUUCUUAAUGUUUGAAAGGAAACAUUGAGGGUUUCCCAGCUGCAGUUCUAAAUUCACUUUCAUGGGACAGUCCUGCUGAACUUCAGCUGAAGCUAAUGGCCAAAUCACAAAACUAUGUCCAAAGAAUUAGAAAUUUUGUUGCCAUAAAUUCUUGAACAUCUUGCUUUGACACGGCAUUUAAUUUUAAUUACAUUUUCAUUGAACAGUAGGAGUAUACUUCUGCCAAUUUUGAAUUGAAAAUAAAAAGUGAGGAGAAAUCUUCCAAAUGUUUCAGACAGAAGUGUUAAAUGUUGAAGUGUGUUUUUGCAGCAUUACACAGUAACACAAAUAACUGAGAACAUUUCUGACAACUUCAGGUAUAUUUUGGUGAGACAGUUUGACAAAGACAUGAAAAUUUUUCAUAUAUUUGAAAAACUGAAAAUAUGUUUGAAGAGAGAGAGAAACCUCCAAUACAUUUAGUACCUGUAAGAUCUGGGAAAAUCAGAAGAUGAAUAGAAGAACAAAAAUAAUCUCCCUAACAAGGAAAUGCAGUUUAACAUAGUUGGUUUCUACUCUGGUGCAGCAUCCAUUUGAUCAAUGCACUCUGCUACUUCUUGUUUAGUUAAAGAGAAAGAGGAUAACAAAGGAGCUGAUUAUACUGCAGUGAGGAGAGGGAGCUGAGAGAAUGAAGACAUAUAACAUGUCUUCAUUCUACAGGAAUCUAAGGAAUCUAUAGGAAACUAAGCUUUAUCUGUUCAGCUACACAUAAAAUAAUUUUUGUUUGCAAUAUGUUAGGGUUAUUAUUUGCACAGAUAGGUUUAAUGUUUCAUUUCUAAUUUAUUUGUUGAAGUGUGUUGAAGGGUUCAUUCAGUACUAAUAAAAAUACUGCAAUACAGCAUUAACUGCCAAAAUGCUUAUCUGAAAAGGACCUUCCAGUUGCUUUCAGGUAGAAUAUG